UACGAAGGGGGCUAGCGUUGUUCGGAAUUACUGGGCGUAAAGCGCACGUAGGCGGAUAUUUAAGUCAGGGGUGAAAUCCCAGAGCUCAACUCUGGAACUGCCUUUGAUACUGGGUAUCUUGAGUAUGGAAGAGGUAAGUGGAAUUGCGAGUGUAGAGGUGAAAUUCGUAGAUAUUCGGAGGAACACCAGUGGCGAAGGCGGCUCACUGGUCCGGUACUGACGCUGAGGUGCGAAAGCGUGGGGAGCAAACAGG
rnacentral:rRNA from 1 species